UGCCAGUCAUUGGUUCAUCUGGGAGCAGAACAGGUCCACCUCCCUUCAAUUCCACUGCUCUCCAGCAACCACACCUCACGAAUCGCAAGAAACCUAACAGGCAGUCCCAGACUUCAUCCUCCUCUCAGCAUCACCCAGGACCUUCCUGCAUCCUCCUCUCAGACAACGUAACACCGUGGGGUGGCCUUGCUCACUCCGAAUCCUCCUUUACCAUAACCCCCCCAGCAAUUCCACCAACAAGACCCCCAUCCCUCCCACCUGGUCCUCAGCCGACAGUUGCCACUCCUCAUGAGGAGGAGGAGGAAAACGAUGAAUGUUCAUGUUCAGGUUUCAGCUCCGAAAUCUCCUCUCCAUGCCUGUUGGUCCCUCGGAACAACACAGGUGGAGUGGGCAGAAGGCUGCAGGCGAGAAGCAGGGUCAUACCUCAGUGCCAGGUUCCUCGCCUUCCACGCCUGCCACCGCUGAAUCCAAUCACCGAGCUCAGCUUCUCUCGAAGCUUCACGUUUUCCUUCUUCGAGCUGCCGCUGCAUCAUUCCCCUCACUGUCGGGCAGAACGUGCCAGAAACCUCUUUCAGCUGCUGAAGCAAAUACACUACUGAGGACUCUUGUAUUAAAGGAUUGUGAAACAAAUCUAAAUGUCUGAAUUGUCAAAUUAAUGGCAGUGAAGUGAUGUCUUAAGAAAACAAUGAAUACUCUGAACUCGUAACUCUUAACUCCCAUCAUAUGGGCACAUUGUGUUGAGCCUUGCAUGCUUUACUCGGUUUUGGUGUCAGUAAAAUACCCAUUAACAAACCUAUUGAGUGGAUUCAUGAAUCCCUCCUAUGGAAUACCUUAAAACUUAUUAACUUAUUUCUCAUUUAGCCCCUCACUCGUUUUGUCUGCCUCUGCAACUCUUGCACAAACAUCCCUGAAAGCUGAGUUGGGAUAAUGCAGCCAUUCAUUGGCUCUGAAAGACUGCUGAAGGGGAACGAAAGAGACGGUAAAAUGGCAUUAGUGUGCAGAGUUCAAGGCUGUCUUCCUCAUUCCCUGAUUCACGUGUAACAGCUUGUGUAGUUCAGUGUGUGAACUACGCAACAGAACUAUGCACUAUCACAGUCACAUGUGUGAACCCACAGCACUGAUUCGGUUUCUCUAUGUUGGAUAUUUCUCUAUAUUGCUCACAGGCUCCGUUUUUUCGCUUCAGUUCUUUCAAAGUUACCUUUUGUGUUGUGAAAGAAAUCCUCACUGUUAGUAAAGCAAAGAAAAUGUUUGCAUUUAAAAUGACCAGGGGUUCCAAAUAGAAAUCUGAAGUUCUUAUAGUGAACAGCAGAAUCUGGCAGUAAUUUGCGAUGAUGAGCAGGUGCAUGUCUCAGGUCAGGAGCUUUUUGUAGAAGAUGAAGGACCUCAAAAACUUUGCUGCUUGGCAGGUUCUUCCUGGUCAGACUAACCUUUUCUUUUGAACUAGACCAUUUCAUACAUUCCAAGCUCUGCUGGCUUUGAGUCUGUUUUGAUCCUGUCAUUGCUGCCUUACGCUCGUUAAGGUAAAACAGUGGCGACAAUCUGACAACAGAAGUCAGUGUUCAUCAUCAUCCAGCUGGCUGUAGAUGAAGUUACUGCAACAAGUAGGAGCAAUUUUCAAGGAUUGCCACAAAUUCUCACAUGAGGUCUGCACUUUGAUUCAUAACUUGUAACUUGAGUUAUGAAUAUUUUUCCACCAAAACAACUAUUGUAGUGUUGAAAAUGUUUAGGUCAUGGUCCUGUCAGAAGGACCAUGACCUUUUAUGAAUUCAUGCUUCUUUGAACAGACUUUCUUUAAAGAUUACCUUGGAUUUAGCUCCUUCCAUGUUUACCGCUACUCUUAUCAGGUUCAUGCUCCAGUUGAUAAAGCAUCCUCAAUGCUGCCAUGUUCCUUAUCAGGAACAUGGUGGAAAGAUAGAUUUACUUCUAUCCUCAUUUGAUGCAAGGUACUGAAUGAGUGCUUUGAAAAGAAGCUGCCUUUCACCAUAUCUUGGGAACUUUUACUAAAGACACACACUCUCAAAAACACCGAGGAGACUCGUGUCCACAAGACGCACCCAGAUGGACAGAUGCCACACUGUUAAACUGACGAGUGACUCAUUAUUAUAUAAUAAUCUGUUUUUAUCUCCAUAACCACCAAUGGGCAGAUACGAUAGAUAUCUGCACCUGGCCGCCUAUUAGUCAUCAUUAUCUCCUCUGAUGGGGCCGGUGAUAAUUAAAUCUGCGUGGCCUUUGUUUUAGUCAGGGCGGAGAAUUUGGUUAGAUUCGAGGCUUGUAACUUAAAUAUGGAGAAAACAGAACAUACUGUCUGUAGAUCUGUUACGUACCUAAGUGAAUGGACAGACGAAUAGAAGGAUUUUGUUGGCACAUCGAGUGUGCGCAGACAGAUUUAUUUAAUGUUUCUGACAGCCUAGUUGAUAUUCUGUUUUUAAGUCAGAAAUAGUCACAGUCAUUGGUUUCAUCCUGGGUGCCAUCUUGUCAGUGCAGAUGGACGGUCCAGGUGGUGGGAUGCAAACCGAGUGGGUCAGUAGAACUGGGUUAUUUUUUUAUGUUUGGCUUUGUCAUUCCACAACAAGAUUUUAUCAUUCUGGUCAUAUUUUAUUGGAUUUUGACUUGCUGUAUUUUGAACACACACAUACAUGUAAAGUCAAUGUUUUUAUUUAUAUUUACUGUGUUGCCCUACGAUGGACUGGUGACCUGUCCAGAGUGUAACCCGUUGCCCUCUAGAGAAAGGCACCAGAACCGCUUGCGACUCCUCUAGGGAUAAACGUGUCAGGUGACGGAUGGAUGGUUUAAAUAAUAUAUCAAUCAACGUGUUAAUGUAGCUCCUUUCUCUUUAUUUGUUAAAUACCAUGGAGUAGACAUCAUAUUAUCCCUGCUUACAUUUUUUCUAUUUGUGACAUUGAGUCAGUGUGUCUGACUUUCUUCACUCAAAGUCCAGUUCCUGGACCAAAGAUCCUUGCAAAAGUUUUAAUAUACCAUUAACCUCACAUUAUUUUAAUGUUUUGGAUCAAUACAAAGAAGACCAGAUUUGAGAAGUGCAGCUUAACUUAACACUACACUGGCAUGUUUUUCUUUCAAAUGUGCAGCUUAUUGAACAAAGCCAAUAACAAAGUGUGUUAUUGGCUUGGAUACGUUAAUCAGCUAUGAGUUUCCCCCUGAUGUUCUUUGUAAACAAGCUGAAUUCAAACACAAUAUUUGCCAUUGGAAACAUCCUUAACUGCAAUUUAAAUCAUGAGGUGAUUUCGUCACCACUUCAACUAGAAUAUUUUGUUAAAAAAAAAAAGAAGUAAAUCAUUAUUUUAGCAGGAAUUGAUGGUUCUUAUUUUAAUUUUUUCUCUAUUUCUGUUCCUGGUUUUGCUGUGGCAUGUCAAUCAAACCUUUUGAUUUUAAUGCAGCCAAGAUGCCUAUUGAUGCAUAUUGGACACAUAGCAAGGAUUGUAUUAGAAAUAUUUUUGCUGCCACCUACCGGUCAAAGGGUGAACAACAUCUGGCUGGAGUUCUAAAGUACUGAGGUGCAUAUAAGAUAAUAAUAUGAUGGACCAGAAACCAGGAAACUGUUGGAUGUUAUUGAGUCUCCUAAUACUGUUUGGAAAUAGCAGCAAUAAUAUUUAUACCUGACACUAAAUGUUAUAAUGACAAAUUAUACCUAAAGUUGCUAAUUUGCAUCAUACUUGAAUGUAUAAGUACAGUUUGAUUUCUGUGGGUAUACUGUGUGCUAUAUUCAAAGUGAUACUCUCUACAUAAUGUAGGAGCUGCGUAAGAGCAAAAUAAUUAUUAGUUUAUAUUUUACAUGAUGAUAAUGAACUUCUGAGGUCUCCACACAACAGGUAUAUUUAUACUGAAACUAAAUGACAUUCCGGGAGACGUUUGUGUUUGGUUUCCUCUGUGAUUAAACAAAUGAUGACGAACUAAUCAGAUGUGUCCCACCUGCUGUUUUAAAGCAAGUUUUUUCUAUAACUCAGUUAAACGUUAUCUGAUCUUAUGUGAGGAGAUCAAGGUGAAGUUGUGUUUUAUUUAUGACGUUUUUAUUGAUGUACUCUUAUCAUUCUAAUA